AUAAUGGGUCAGCGACUUAUAUUCUGUAGCAAGGUUAACCGAAUAGGGGAGCCGAAGGGAAACCGAGUCUUAACUGGGCGUUAAGUUGCAGGGUAUAGACCCGAAACCCGGUGAUCUAGCCAUGGGCAGGUUGAAGGUUGGGUAACACUAACUGGAGGACCGAACCGACUAAUGUUGAAAAAUUAGCGGAUGACUUGUGGCUGGGGGUGAAAGGCCAAUCAAACCGGGAGAUAGCUGGUUCUCCCCGAAAGCUAUUUAGGUAGCGCCUCGUGAAUUCAUCUCCGGGGGUAGAGCACUGUUUCGGCAAGGGGGUCAUCCCGACUUACCAACCCGAUGCAAACUGCGAAUACCGGAGAAUGUUAUCACGGGAGACACACGGCGGGUGCUAACGUCCGUCGUGAAGAGGGAAACAACCCAGACCGCCAGCUAAGGUCCCAAAGUCAUGGUUAAGUGGGAAACGAUGUGGGAAGGCCCAGACAGCCAGGAUGUUGGCUUAGAAGCAGCCAUCAUUUAAAGAAAGCGUAAUAGCUCACUGGUCGAGUCGGCCUGCGCGGAAGAUGUAACGGGGCUAAACCAUGCACCGAAGCUGCGGCAGCGACGCUUAUGCGUUGUUGGGUAGGGGAGCGUUCUGUAAGCCUGUGAAGGUGUGCUGUGAGGCAUGCUGGAGGUAUCAGAAGUGCGAAUGCUGACAUAAGUAACGAUAAAGCGGGUGAAAAGCCCGCUCGCCGGAAGACCAAGGGUUCCUGUCCAACGUUAAUCGGGGCAGGGUGAGUCGACCCCUAAGGCGAGGCCGAAAGGCGUAGUCGAUGGGAAACAGGUUAAUAUUCCUGUACUUGGUGUUACUGCGAAGGGGGGACGGAGAAGGCUAUGUUGGCCGGGCGACGGUUGUCCCGGUUUAAGCGUGUAGGCUGGUUUUCCAGGCAAA
rnacentral:rRNA from 1 species